GGGCUGAUCCAUAUUUGACCCGUUAUCCAACCGCUUUGGAAUUGGGUUUUUGCCAGCACUACUACUUAUAUAAAGAGUUGCCUUGACAUUACCCAAAAUUUCAAAGCCUGCAGUCAACAUAGGCUUAAGCACUUCGGAAGAGUUCUCUAAUGGCAAAGGAAGAAGCCGUCGCUGUUAAAGAUGCUGUCCACAAGUUGCAACUCUGUCUUCUUGAAGGCAUUAAAGAUGAAAACCAACUCUUUGCUGCUGGGUCUUUGCUGUCUCUGAGCGAUUAUCAGGAUGUAGUAACUGAACGAUCAAUAGCAAACAUGUGUGGUUAUCCUCUUUGCAGCAACUCCCUGCCUUCUGAAAGGCCUCGGAAAGGACAUUACAGAAUAUCAUUGAAGGAGCAUAAAGUUUAUGAUCUUCAUGAAACAUACAUGUACUGUUCAACAAAUUGCGUUGUCAGUAGUAGAACAUUUGCUGGUAGCUUGCAAGACGAGAGAAGCUCUACAUUGAAUCCAGCAAAACUUAAUGAAGUCCUGAAAUUAUUUGAGGGAUUGCAUUUGCAUUCCACAGAGGAUGUGAAGGAAAAUGGAGAUCUAGGAUCUUCCAAGUUGAAGAUUAAGGAAAAAUUGGAUGUAAAGGGUGGUGAAGUUUCACUGGAAGAGUGGAUGGGUCCAUCUAAUGCAAUUGAAGGCUAUGUUCCACAGAGAGAUCGAAUUGUGAAUCCAGCACUGUUGAAAAACGUUAACAGAGGAUCCAAGAAUAGGCAUGCCAGACUCCAAAAUGAGAAAAACAUGAUACUUAAUGAGAUUGACUUUUCCAGCAUUAUAAUAACUCAAGAUGAGUAUAGCGUUUCAAAAUCUCCAGCUCCUGUAAAUGCUGUCUCUAGUAAAGAAGCCCAAACGAAGACAAGGAACGAAGUUAGGCAUGAUGUUUCUGUAUUGGGGAAGCAAGUUGAUGCCUUGCAGUUGCAUUCUGGAGAAGAAACAGAAAAAUUGGAUAAGAACAAUGGAUGUUCUAAGGUGGAUAAAUUUAACUCUGGAGAAGUGUCUUCUGGUCCUUUCCAACAUGAUGUCAAGAACAAAAGUGUUGAGGUGCUAAAUAUUUCGGAUGCGGGAAGAAAAUUUGCAUCAGAUGGUGCACAUGAUAAACAAUUGCUCAAAUCUUCUCUAAAAUCCUCAAAUUCCAAGAAAAUGGCUCGGUCAGUUACUUGGGCUGAUGAAAAUAUAGAUGAAGGCGCUGGCAAUAAAACAGAGAGUUCAUCCAAAAUAUCAGAAGAUGGGAAUCAAGCUUAUGGUGGAUCAGGCUCUACAGACAUGGAAGAGGAUGAUAAUUCAUAUCGAUUUGGAUCUGCAGAAGCCUGUGCAGCAGCACUAAGCCAAGCAGCAGAGGCUGUUGCCUCAGGUUCUGAUGUCCCUGAUGCUGUGUCCAAAGCCGGGAUUAUAAUAUUGCCACCUCAACAAGAAGUGGAUGAAGCAAUACAUCAGGAGAAGGAUGAGGUGCUUGAUACAGAACCAGCUCCUUUACAAUGGCCAAGAAAACCAGGGAUGCCAAAUUAUGAUGUUUUUGAAUCGGAGGACUCUUGGUAUGAUAGUCCACCCGAGGGGUUUCACAUGACUCUGUCACCUUUCGCUACAAUGUUUAACUCCCUCUUCACAUGGAUAUCAUCAUCGUCCUUGGCAUUUAUAUAUGGGCACGACGAAAGCAAUAAUGAGGAGUAUUUAUCUAUCAAUGGAAGAGAAUAUCCUCGCAAGAUUGUGUUAUCUGAUGGCCGGUCAACUGAGAUCAAGCAGACUCUGGCUGGCUGUCUUGCUCGAGCAUUGCCAGGAUUGGUUGCUGACCUUAGGCUGCCUGUGCCAAUAUCAACUUUAGAGCAAGGAAUGGGUCUCUUCUUAGAUACAAUGUCUUUUGUGGACCCACUCCCUGCAUUCCGGAUGAAGCAGUGGCAACUUAUUGUACUUCUGUUUCUUGAUGCUCUUUCCGUAUGUAGGUUACCCACACUGACUCCAUAUAUGACAGGGCGAAGGACUUCGUUUCCAAAGGUGCUUGAUGGUGCUCAGAUAAGCACCGCGGAAUAUGAGAUCAUGAAAGAUCUAAUCAUUCCACUAGGUCGAGUGCCUCAGUUCUCAAUGCAAAGUGGAGGCUAAUUUGACAUAAAACAGCUGCUGCGGACUCCCUCCUAUAAUCUUUCAUGGGAAAAGAGGUUUGUGAGGAUAGACUGGAAAGUGUGCACGUAUGCCAAAUUGUAUAUGUUUGUUGCAACUUCAUAUCUGAUUAUGAUGUAGAAAUGCUAUAUUGUCAAGACACUGAUGAUUGAUGAUAAGUGAAAAGCGUAAUUGUCAGUUGUUAGCUGAACUCUUUACGAGCUUAACAGGGACUGCACAGAGCUAUUUGCUUGGCUAUCACUUGGGUGCUGCAGAAAAUUAUAAGCUCAAUGCAAUUGGCAGGAGGCUCCCUAGUCCUGAUAGAGGUGUUGUUGCCCUGUUCCCACCAUCAAGAGAUUUUUCUACUACUAUUAUAUCCUCUUGUGGAGCUUUAUUUAGUUUGGCAAGGUUCUUGAUAGCAUGUUGCUGCUGUGAACUCUCUAUCUCACACCAGUUAUGCGAAACUGUGAUUUGACUUUUGAGUGUGUGAAAUUCUUGGAGGAAAAUAUGGUCAUGAUAUUACCUACUUUGUGAAUAUAACUACGUUAAAAAGAACUUACUCAUUUUUCUGUGUGAGUUUUAAAUCCAAGAUAAUUAUUGAGGCAAUCUAAAAAUAAUGCCACUUA